rnacentral:rRNA from 1 species
UACGAAGGGGGCUAGCGUUGUUCGGAUUUACUGGGCGUAAAGCGCACGUAGGCGGAUUUUUAAGUCAGGGGUGAAAUCCCGAGGCUCAACCUCGGAACUGCCCUUGAUACUGGAAGUCUCGAGUCCGGGAGAGGUGAGCGGAACUGCGAGUGUAGAGGUGAAAUUCGUAGAUAUUCGCAAGAACACCAGUGGCGAAGGCGGCUCACUGGCCCGGUACUGACGCUGAGGUGCGAAAGCGUGGGGAGCAAACAGG